GUGAGGAAUAUUGCGCAAUGGAGGCAACUCUGACGCAGCCAUGCCGCGUGCAGGAAGAAGGCGCUACGCGUUGUAAACUGCUUUUAACCGGGAAGAAACCCCAGGACGUGUCCUGGGUUGACGGUACCGGAGGAAUAAGCACCGGCUAACUUCGUGCCAGCAGCCGCGGUAAUACGAAGGGUGCAAGCGUUAUCCGGAUUCAUUGGGUUUAAAGGGUGCGUAGGCGGAGCGUUAAGUCAGUGGUGAAAUCCUGCAGCUUAACUGUAGACUUGCCAUUGAUACUGGCGCUCUUGAGUGCGCUUGAAGUGGGCGGAAUGUGCCGUGUAGCGGUGAAAUUCUUAGAUAUGGCACAGAACACCAAUUGCGAAGGCAGCUCACUAAGGCGAUACUGACGCUGAGGCACGAAAGCGUGGGGAUCGAACAGGAUUAGAAACCCCUGUAGUCC
rnacentral:rRNA from 1 species